rnacentral:rRNA from 1 species
GAUUGAUCAAGCGCGAUAAGGGCAUUUGGUGGAUGCCUUGGCAUGCACAGGCGAUGAAGGACGUGAUACGCUGCGAUAAGCUAUGGGGAGCUGCCAAUAAGCAUUGAUCCAUAGAUUUCCGAAUGGGGUAACCCACCUUAAAUGUCUAGUGAAGUAAUCUGUAAGGAUUAUUUUUCUAGGUAUUUUUAGGUAUCUUUAUCUGAAUAGAAUAGGAUAAAAGAAGCGAACGCAGGGAACUGAAACAUCUAAGUACCUGUAGGAAAGGACAUCAAUAGAGACUCCGUAAGUAGUGGCGAGCGAACGCGGACCAGGCCAGUGGUAAGAAGAUCUGAAGUAGAAUUACCUGGGAAGGUAAGCCAUAGUGCGUGAUAGCCGCGUAUACGUAAGCGGAUUUUUUUAUCCUUGAGUAGGGCGGGACACGUGAAAUCCUGUUUGAACAUGGGGCGACCACGCUCCAAGCCUAAGUACUCGUGCAUGACCGAUAGUGAACUAGUACCGUGAGGGAAAGGCGAAAAGAACCCCUACUAGGGGAGUGAAAUAGAUCCUGAAACCGAAUGCCUACAAACAGUCGGAGGCCGCAAGGCUGACGGCGUACCUUUUGUAUAAUGGGUCAACGACUUAGUGUAGCAAGCGAGCUUAAGCCGAUAGGUGUAGGCGUAGCGAAAGCGAGUCUGAAUAAGGCGAUUUAGUUUGUUGCAUUAGACCCGAAACCGAGUGAUCUAGCCAUGAGCAGGUUGAAGAUUGGGUAACACCAAUUGGAGGACCGAACCCGUAUCUGUUGCAAUAGAUUGGGAUGACUUGUGGCUAGGGGUGAAAGGCCAAUCAAACUCGGAUAUAGCUGGUUCUCCGCGAAAUCUAUUUAGGUAGAGCGUUAACUGAAUACCCUCGGGGGUAGAGCACUGGAUAGGCUAUGGGGGCUUACCGCCUUACUGCUCCUAACCAAACUCCGAAUACCGAGGAGUACUAGUUGGCAGACACACAGUGGGUGCUAACGUCCAUUGUGGAGAGGGAAACAACCCUGACCUCCAUCUAAGGUCCCUAAGUCAUGGCUAAGUGGGAAAGGAUGUGAAGAUCCCAAAACAACCAGGAUGUUGGCUUAGAAGCAGCCAUCAUUUAAAGAAAGCGUAACAGCUCACUGGUCUAUAUAAGGAUUUUUGCGCCGAAAAUGUAACGGGGCUCAAGCCAUGCACCGAAGCUGAGGACUUGUUUUUAGGAACGAGUGGUAGCGGAGCGUUCCGUAAGCCGAUGAAGGAUGAUCUGUGAGGACAUCUGGAGGUAUCGGAAGUGAGAAUGUUGACAUGAGUAACGAUAAAGAGGGUGAGAGACCCUCUCGCCGAAAGACCAAGGGUUCCUGCUUAAAGUUAAUCUGAGCAGGGUUAGCCGGCCCCUAAGGUGAGGCGGAAACGCGUAGCCGAUGGGAACCACAUUAAUAUUUGUGGGCCUGGUGGGAAGUGACGGAUUGAGUAAAUUGUACAUUCUUAAUGGAUUGGAUGUGCUUUGAAUCAGUUCCAGGAAAUAGCCCCACCGUAUAGACCGUACCCUAAACCGACACAGGUGGUUAGGUAGAGAAUACUAAGGCGCUUGAGAGAACUGCGUUGAAGGAACUCGGCAAAUUACACGCGUAACUUCGGGAUAAGCGUGACCUUUUUUUGGGCAACCAAUAAGAGGUGGCACAGACCAGGGGGUAGCGACUGUUUACCAAAAACACAGGGCUCUGCGAAGUCGCAAGACGAAGUAUAGGGCCUGACGCCUGCCCGGUGCUGGAAGGUUAAGAGGAGGGGUGAGAGCUCUGAAUUGAAGCCCCAGUAAACGGCGGCCGUAACUAUAACGGUCCUAAGGUAGCGAAAUUCCUUGUCGGGUAAGUUCCGACCU